ACUCAGCUGAUGAGUCCAAAAUAAGACGAAACAUGCAUCCUGGAU
rnacentral:hammerhead_ribozyme from 1 species